rnacentral:rRNA from 1 species
UACGUAGGGUGCAAGCGUUAAUCGGAAUUACUGGGCGUAAAGCGUGCGCAGGCGGUGAUGUAAGACAGAUGUGAAAUCCCCGGGCUCAACCUGGGAACUGCAUUUGUGACUGCAUGGCUAGAGUUUGGCAGAGGGGGGGUAGAAUUCCACGUGUAGCAGUGAAAUGCGUAGAUAUGUGGAGGAACACCGAUGGCGAAAGCAGCCCCCUGGGUCAAGACUGACGCUCAUGCACGAAAGCGUGGGGAGCAAACAGG